rnacentral:rRNA from 1 species
GCGACCCCAGGUCAAGCGGGGCUACCCGCUGAGUUUA